rnacentral:rRNA from 1 species
UACGAGAGGCCCAAACAUUAUUCGGAAUUACUGGGCUUAAAGAGUUCGUAGGCGGCGCGGAAAGUAGGGUGUGAAAGCCCUCGGCUUAACCGAGGAAUUGCGCUCUAAACUGCCGUGCUAGAGGAAGCUAGAGGUGAGCGGAACUGAUGGUGGAGCGGUGAAAUGCGUUGAUAUCGGGAGGAACACCAGAGGCGAAGGCGGCGCACUGGACAGCAACUGACACUCAACUGCGAAAGCGUGGGGAGCAAACAGG